GUAGGUGAACCUGCGGAAGGAUCAUUACAGAGUUCAUGCCCUUUGGGGUAGAUCUCCCACCCUUGUGUAUCAUUAUAGAAUGUUGCUUUGGCGGGCCGCACGCCUGGCGUGCCUGGAUUCGCGUCCAGCGUGCCCGCCAGAGGACCCCUAAACUCUGAAUGUUAGUGUCGUCUGAGUACUAUUAAAUAGUUAAAACUUUCAACAACGGAUCUCUUGGUUCUG
rnacentral:misc_RNA from 1 species